rnacentral:rRNA from 1 species
AUGGGGAAGACGCCGGAGGAGGAGAAUCCAGGGGAGAAGAAGAAGAAGCUGGAGAAGCUGCGGAGCGCGGCGCAGCGGCAGAAGGCGAAGCUGUACAUCGUCGCGGCCUGCAUCGCCCUGCUCAUCUGCGGCUGCCGCAGCAACUGCAAGCAACCAACACCAAAGCGUACGUGUGUGCAUUAUACUGUAUUCUUAAUUCUUAUCCAACCUGACAGUAUAUACUGA